rnacentral:rRNA from 1 species
UACCGGGGAAACCGGGGCUAAUACCGGAUAAUACAUAGAAACCGCAUUGGUUUCAUGAUAGAAAGACGGUUUUUGCUGUCACUUAUAGAUGGACCCGCGGCGUAUUAGCUAGUUGGUAAGGUAACGGCUUACCAAGGCAACGAUACGUAGCCGACCUGAGAGGGUGAUCGGCCACACUGGAACUGAGACACGGUCCAGACUCCUACGGGAGGCAGCAGUU